rnacentral:rRNA from 1 species
GUGAGGAAUAUUGGACAAUGGGCGCAAGCCUGAUCCAGCCAUGCCGCGUGCAGGAAGACGCAUCUAUGGUGUGUAAACUGCUUUUGUACGGGAAGAAACACUCCCUCGUGAGGGAGCUUGACGGUACCGUAAGAAUAAGGAUCGGCUAACUCCGUGCCAGCAGCCGCGGUAAUACGGAGGAUCCAAGCGUUAUCCGGAAUCAUUGGGUUUAAAGGGUCCGUAGGCGGUUUAAUAAGUCAGUGGUGAAAGCCCAUCGCUCAACGAUGGAACGGCCAUUGAUACUGUUAGACUUGAAUUACAAGGAAGUAACUAGAAUAUGUAGUGUAGCGGUGAAAUGCUUAGAUAUUACAUGGAAUACCAAUUGCGAGGGCAGGUUACUACUUGUGGAUUGACGCUGAUGGACGAAAGCGUGGGGAGCGAACAGGAUUAGAAACCCCGGUAGUCC